UACGUAGGGGGCAAGCGUUGUCCGGAUUUAUUGGGCGUAAAGAGCGUGUAGGCGGCCAGAUAGGUCAGCUGUGAAAACUCGAGGCUCAACCUCGAGAUGUCGGCUGAAACCAUCUGGCUAGAGUCCGGAAGAGGAGAAUGGAAUUCCCGGUGUAGCGGUGAAAUGCGCAGAUAUCGGGAAGAACACCCGUGGCGAAGGCGGUUCUCUGGGACGUUACUGACGCUGAGACGCGAAAGCGUGGGGAGCAAACAGG
rnacentral:rRNA from 1 species